UGGUGGAGUGAUUUGUCUGGUUAAUUCCGAUAACGAACGAGACCUUAACCUGCUAACUAGUUUACUGAACGUGAGUUCUGGGAAACUUCUUAGAGGGACUAUCUGUGACUAACAGAUGGAAGUUUGAGGCAAUAACA
rnacentral:rRNA from 1 species